CAAAGCCCAGGUGCUGGCUGGACAACCCCUUCUGGCUGCCUAAGCAGAUGGCAGAAGAAGGAAACAAGCCCCCACAUCACCCAACCAACCAGCAGAGAUCCUCCUUCCCAAGAAACAGAUAAAGAAACUGAGGCCCAGGAAGGCUAAGAGUCCUGCCAGGAUUAUUCACCUUUCAAGCAGCCAAGCAAGCACUGGCUGUGAGAGAUGGCUGUGAGAGAAGAUUAAAACAAUUACAACUCACCCAGUUCACAGAUGCUGAGUAACUGAUCUCCUGCCCCACUAACCUUAACGACAGCUUUCUCUGGACAAGGGACUGAUUUCAGUAACUUUCUCCUGAUAAGAGACCAUCCUCCAUGGACUGGUUCUGGCCAGUUUUAGAGGCUGUGCCUUUACGAGGCUGAGUACCUUCAUGUCCCUGCUUCACUUUUUGAUGUGUAGGGCCUAAUUAUAAUACAUUUAAAUGUCAAGUCUCCACCCCAGAAUGAACAUGCAUGUUUAUUGAAUAUGCAUGUGUUAGGACCUCUUUUAUGAGUAUUCUCAUAAAAUGAUAUAGCUCCUCUGAUAUCCUAUUGAGUAUGUAUAUGUAGCCAACUCAUUUGGCUCAAAUUCCUGUCCUCUCCCUCCCUCCCUGGAAAUGCCUGCCUCUGGCCUUGGCUGUAGGCCACACUUCCCAGCCUGUCAUAAUGGCCAC